rnacentral:rRNA from 1 species
AGAGGGUGCAAACGUUGUUCGGAAUUACUGGGCGUAAAGCGUGUGUAGGCGGCUACGUAAGUCGGAUGUGAAAGCCCCAGGCUCAACCUGGGAAGUGCACUCGAUACUGCGUAGCUUGAGUAUCGGAGAGGUUGGUGGAAUUCUCGGUGUAGAGGUGAAAUUCGUAGAUAUCGAGAGGAACACCGGUGGCGAAGGCGGCCAACUGGACGAAUACUGACGCUGAGACACGAAAGCGUGGGGAGCAAACAGGAUUAGAUACCCUGGUAGUCCACGCCGUAAACGAUGGGUGCUAGGUGUCACGGGCUUUGACUCCUGUGGUGCCGUAGCAAACGCAUUAAGCACCCCGCCUGGGAAGUACGGCCGCAAGGCUA